GCCUACGGGUGUGUGCCACCACAUCCAGCUAAUUUUUAAAUUUUUUGUAGAGACGGGGUUUUGCCAUCUUGUCCAGGCUGGUCUUGUACUCCUGCGAUCAAGUGAUCCUCCUGCCUUGGCCUCCCAAGGUGUUGGGAUUACAGGCAUGAGCCACUAGGCCUGGCCUCUUUCCCUUUUUAAAAAAAUUAUUUCAUUUGGCUGUUUCUUGGGUGAUGAUCUUGGCAGUGGUUUUGAGCUUGGCGAGCCUCAGUUUCCUUGUCUGUGUAACGAAAGAUGGGGGUGUGUCUACAUCACAG
rnacentral:lncRNA from 1 species